AAAGCGUGCGUAGGUGGUUGUUUAAGUCUGUUGUGAAAGCCCUGGGCUCAACCUGGGAAUUGCAGUGGAUACUGGGCAACUAGAGUGUGGUAGAGGGUAGUGGAAUUCCCGGUGUAGCAGUGAAAUGCGUAGAGAUCGGGAGGAACAUCCAUGGCGAAGGCAGCUACCUGGACCAACACUGACACUGAGGCACGAAAGCGUGGGGAGCAAACAGGAUUAGAUACCCGGGU
rnacentral:rRNA from 1 species